GCCUGGGUGGCUCAGUCGGUUGAGCGUCCAACUUCAGCUCAGGUCAUGAUCUCACGGUUUGUGGGUUCGAGCCCCAUGUCAGGCU
rnacentral:tRNA from 1 species